rnacentral:lncRNA from 1 species
UACAUUGCCAGGGUCUCUCCUGGAGCCUCUAGGGGUCUAAGAAGUGAAGGGCCUUGAUACAUAAGGCUGCAUUGUUUUAUCAUAAAGUUAUCCCUGCUUAGAUUACUAACUUAUUUAGGAAAGUGAUGGAAAUUGCUAGAAAUAUUAAUCGUUCCCUGCUUACCUGUCAGGGCUGAAGAGAGAAAGUGUUGCACAGUCAUGAAGGGUACACAUUUUGGAGUUGGUGGUUCUGGGUUCAAGUUCUGAUCCUGCAGUUGAGGAGUUCUGUGACCUCGGGCAAACCACCUACAACCCAGCUUUCUCAUUUGGAAAAAAGAGGUAAGAGUAGAAUUGACAUGCUGGAUAAAUGUGACAAGGCCUGUAAAGCAUGGGAUAGCCAUUGGUCACCACUGGCUGGUUUUUAUUUUUCAGAAGGAGGAGAGGUACCUUCUAGCUUCUGGGAUGGCAGAGUGUGGGUGCAUGGGAGAGUUCCCUUAAGGAGGGACAUUUGAGUGGAGCCUUAAAGUUCUGGGACCAAAACAUUUGAAACAUUUGAAAACAUUCCACAUUACCCUGGAAACGUGUCCAGUUUGGCUGGAGUACAGGUAGAGUUUCUUCAGGACUUGAAAUGCCAAUGUCACAGCUCAAGAAAUAAUGAUUUUAUUACUUCUUUGGAGAGUGGUCACACCACCCACCAUCUUUCUUUGGAUUGGAUUUCCUCCCCACCCCAUCCUGAUGUCUGGAACAUGAAAGGACUCUGCCCAAGGUGGGGACUUGCAUGUCGUGCAUGAUGCCCACCCUUCUGCAGAGACUGUUGCUUCCUGGGUCUGGAACCUGGAGCUGGAAACAAAUGCUUGGGGACCUUACUGCACCCCCAAGGGAGAUGUCUGGUAGCCUGGAGUUGGUGUGGCAGGAAAGAAGGCCCUUUGUUAGACUCAUCCUUGCACUCUGGGAGGCAGAGAUGGAGGGACCUGCCAACAUAGAGCCAAACAGUGACUCACCUAUACAGUAAUGUAGUUGACAGCACUUGUGCCUUGUUAUCUCACCAAGUCUUCAGGACAACCUGAAGAGGCAAGCAGGGCAGACAGCACUGUGAGGACACUGGGGCUGAGAGAAACAAAGUGUGUCUCCUGAAGUUACCUGGCUGGAGAGCAUUGAGGCUGGUAUAUGACCUCAGAGCACACAAGGCUAGAUCCAGUGUUUUAGCUAUAUCACCCUGCUUUCUAGGAAAUGGAAAUUUUCCAUACUUAGAGACCAUUCUUGUAAAUUUCAACUGCCAUGACCAUUUCUAUUUAAAACAUUGGUGGGGUGAACCCUUAGUUCUAAGCUUGAAGACCCAGGUCUGGUGUCACCAUGUCCAGAAGCUCUUCUUAAUUUCAACCUCUCAGCUUGGAUUUAGGUACCUUUCCACUGGCAUCUUUACCUCAAUGAUAGCAUUUACUACUUUUUUUGUUUACUUAUGACUUGUUUGCUUAUUUGGUCUCAGCUGCUAAGAUGUGAGUUACUCUGGAUAUGGGUCUUAUUCGUUGGCCUAAAAUAUAGUUGGUGGGCUUUGAACUGAAUGUCUUUGCCUGAAUUCUUUGUCUCUGCAUGGAGUUAGUGUCUCUCUUUCCCUCUUGACAUUUUCAUGUCUCCUACUCCCUACUCUCAGGAAAGGAUCUUACACUCUCCUCACCCUGAGGUAUGAGUGAUUGAGAAGCUGAUGCAGAAUUCUUCCUUGUGGUAUCUGCAUUUUAAUAAUCAAC